rnacentral:rRNA from 1 species
CGGAGGAUCCAAGCGUUAUCCGGAAUUAUUGGGUUUAAAGGGUCCGUAGGCGGCCCGAUAAGUCAGUGGUGAAAUCUCACGGCUCAACCGUGAAAUGGCCAUUGAUACUGUCGGGCUUGAAUUGUUGGGAAGUAACUAGAAUAUGUAGUGUAGCGGUGAAAUGCUUAGAUAUUACAUGGAAUACCGAUUGCGAAGGCAGGUUACUACCAAUUGAUUGACGCUGAUGGACGAAAGCGUGGGUAGCGAACAGGAUU